rnacentral:rRNA from 1 species
UAAUACGUAGAAGGCAAGCGUUAUCCGGAUUUAUUGGGCGUAAGGAGGGUGUAGGCGGUUCUUCAAGUCGGAUGUAAAAUCUCCCGGCUCAACUGGGAGGGACCAUCCGAUACUGUUGGGCUAGAGUGCAGCAGAGGGAGGUGGAAUUCCCGGUGUAGUGGUGAAAUGCGUAGAUAUCGGGAGGAACACCAGUGGCGAAGGCGGCCUCCUGGGCUGUUACUGACGCUGAGGCCCAAAAGCGUGGGGAGCAAACAGGAUUAGAUACCCUGGUAGUCCACGCAGUAAACGAUGGACACUAGGUAUGGAGAGUAUCGACCCUCUCCGUGCCGAAGUUAACACUUUAAGUGUCCCGCCUGGGGAGUACGGUCACAAGACUA